rnacentral:rRNA from 1 species
ACGCUCGACACCUACGGGAGGCAGCAGGUGGGGAAUAUUGCACAAUGGGGGAAACCCUGAUGCAGCGACGCCGCGUGAGCGAAGAAGUAUUUCGGUAUGUAAAGCUCUAUCAGCAGGGAAGAAACUGACGGUACCUGACUAAGAAGCACCGGCUAAAUACGUGCCAGUAGCCGCGGUAAUCUGAGGCGGGCUGGCAAGGC